rnacentral:rRNA from 1 species
GACGAACGCUGGCGGCGUGCCUAAUACAUGCAAGUCGAACGCAUUUUCUUCCACCGUAGCUUGCUACACCGGAAGAAAAUGAGUGGCGAACGGGUGAGUAACACGUGGGUAACCUGCCCAUCAGCGGGGGAUAACACUUGGAAACAGGUGCUAAUACCGCAUAAUUCCAUUUACCGCAUGGUAAAUGGAUGAAAGGCGCUUUUGCGUCACUGAUGGAUGGACCAGCGGUGCAUUAGCUAGUUGGUGGGGUAAAGGCCUACCAAGGCUGCGAUGCAUAGCCGACCUGAGAGGGUGAUCGGCCACACUGGGACUGAGACACGGCCCAGACUCCUACGGGAGGCAGCAGUAGGGAAUCUUCGGCAAUGGACGCAAGUCUGACCGAGCAACGCCGCGUGAGUGAAGAAGGUUUUCGGAUCGUAAAACUCUGUUGUUAGAGAAGAACAAGGAUGAGAGUGGAAAGUUCAUCCCUUGACGGUAUCUAACCAGAAAGCCACGGCUAACUACGUGCCAGCCGCCGCCGUAAUAC